AGCCCGCCGAGGGCGGGCGGGGAGCAGGAUGCACGCCCGUCGAGGCGGGACGGGCCGCCCGGGAGUGCCGCGCUCUGCCCGCCGCCCGGCACUGAGGGACGGCGCAGUGCCCGCCAGGCUCUGCGGCGAGCGCCUUCAGUGAUUUCAGUGUUGGUACAGCCUCUUUGCUUGCUCAGAGGGCUAGAAGGUCUCAUCUGCUGUUCCUAGAAUGAAAUUUAGUGUGAAACAGCUCAGCCACAGCCACACUCACUGAAAACUGAGGUUAAAUUGCAAGGAAGUAUCAGCACCACUGGGGUCCGUGAUCCUCAGCAAUGUUCCUUUUAUUGGGAGCUGGAUUAAGUCACCACCCACACACAACAAAAGGACCCUUUGGAAUGUCAACAGCAUCACUGGCACUUGUGGGAAGGAAGAGGAAUAAUGUGGCUCUGCUUCAGCACACUUUUGAUCCCAGUUUGGACAAGUUUUGUAUCUUCGAUAUGUGCAGUCCUGCUGAAUAGAUUGAUAUCAAUCCUACUGCUACAGACAUUUCUGUGGAAGAGAUUGUCGGGGGGAAACAGGAAGAGAACAAGACUCAGUGAGAGGAGGAAUAAGAGCUGGAAAGAAUGCUAGGGAGCGUCCACACAGAGCCUUCGAUAGCAUAACUGUUACCAGGCACUUGUGAACUAGAAUGUCUCCCCAACAAUUCUCCUGCACAGCAGCUCUGUAAAGCAGCCCUGCAGGCAACAGCAUGCAGGAAAGAAGAUAAAUGAUGCAACACAUGCAAAUGUCCACUAAGGAGAAAAUCCUAGCUCUGAAAAAUAACAGGUACAUGUAUAGCAAUCUCCAUGUGAUAUUUCUUAGUUUGCCUGCAUAAAUUCAGAACUAAGUAAAUCUUGUUCAUUCCUGUAUUUUUUUCUAGUUGAUUGUUUUCCAAGCAAUAAAGAAGUAGCACUCUGUUCACAUAAUCUUGUGAGUGAUACAAUAACAUCAUCAAGCAAAGGAAAGAAAGGCAGGAAGAGAGAGGCUAUUUACCAGUUGAGAACAGCAAUACAACAAUGUUCUAAUGGACUAUUACAAAAUCAAUCUCCAUGUGCCUUUUGGUAGUGCCUUUUCCUAAACAGGUUUGAAGCAAUGGCAUUCUUGCAGAGAAAGUUAGGAUCAUAAAAGUGUGGCUGUGAGGACAGUCUACAUGGUGAACAGAGAUCUCACACUUCACUGAUACACCUCUGUUCCAUGUAUCACUUGGUAUUACUGUUUUUAAUGCAAUUUAUCCAUGACUAGACUUUGUUGUCUUGUGGUCCUACCCCUCUGACAGAAACAGUCAUUCCCUCCUUCUGGCAUAUCCCUACAGCACAGAAUACAUGUAUGUAGAGUAUGUGAACUGUUUUCAUGUAAAUAUUAAAGGAUUCUGACAAAGGGAGUUGGGUGCUAACUGUUCCUUGAUGCUUCCCAUCCCCGAAAAGGAGGCUGGCCUUUUGUCUCUACAGUCAUGACCCAGGCAUGUAUAAUGUCACCCACUUUAUUUUUGGAUAAAUAUUAUUUCUUGAGCUUCAGUCAAAGUCCAAUUCUACUGGCAGUGGAUGGAGAUGCAUAUGUACUUUUGCACAUGUGAAGACUAACAGAGUUGUUUUUCUGCUGCUAUAGCAAGAUAGGUAUACGAGUAGGCAUUAUCAUGCUGUGGCCAAGUGACAUAAAACUCCUCUAAUGUGGGAGAUUUUAUUUUUUUAACUAGCAGAAGAAAAAUAAACAGGGGUUUUCCAUAUGGGAUGUUAUUUUUUAAAAUAACUCAAUGAAAGGGUGGAAUUAGUUUGACUGGUAUUCACCAUUAUAUAUCCUUGCAAUAUAAACAAAAUAUGAAAAAAAAUCAGGCUAGGAGAAACAUUUUAGGUACAUAAAUGUACAACAUUUUAAGUGCAAAUGCUAACCACAGCAUGCAUCUCCACCACAGUAUCAAUCACAGACACUAAUUCAGUGUACGAUUAGAUUUUCUAAGUUUUUACAAAAGGUUUACUUCCAAAGGAUAACAAAAUGUUUCCAGAGCCAGUAGAUGAAAUCUACAACUAAGACAAAAAAUAUUCCACCUGGUCCUCUAUGUUGUUAAAGAAAAUGUAGUGGAACACAAGCUGAGGCACUGGACAUUUGGUUCAUAAUCUUAGCCGCUGAUCUUUUAUGUGCAAGUGACAUAAACAGAAGAAAAUAUGCUAUUUCAAUAUGUGGUAAUUUUUUGACCACAUAUUCAUACUGUUUACUCUUUUAUGUAUGCUUUUUUUUUUUAUUCUUUCCAUUCUGAGGGUACAGAUUUUAGAAACAAAUGGUUGUAGGAGGUUCCCUGUAUAGCCUUUUUGUCUGGAAGAGACUUGGUUGUUUCACAAAGCAGAAAAACAUUUUUUCAUUCAGAAAUGGGCUCCAGACCUCAUUAAAUAUAAAACUUUUCAUUUUUCCAAGACAGCAUGCCUUUUCUAUGCUCACUCUUCUGUCAAUUCAUGGAGGUAGUCUGCUUAGCUAUGAGAAGAGUUUGGCAGAGGGAAGGAGGUCUCUAAUAGCAGCAUUCAUUGCUUGAGAAGUCAGUGCAAAAACAGCCUUUGAAAGAAUGAUUCAUUUUCUAAAUGCAAAAAAAAAAAAAAAAAGAAAUUGUGGCACCCAUUGUCUGGUUGCUAUUAGAUGUGAAAGGAACAGGAACCAUAGUUUAGCUGCAUUUGACUAUUAUCACAUCCCAAAGGAAGAACAGAAAUGUAGUAGAGUUUAAGGGAAAGCCUUGGGUCCCAGCCACUCUGUUGGCUGUCUUAUUAAAAUACCCUAGCAGUACUUUUUUCUCUGAGUGUUACAGGCUAUACAGCAAGCCAGGAGAAAGAAGAAAAGGUAGUCUGCUGUGCUUAGCUAUAGAUGGCUGUUAAAUGAGUACUCACUCCUUACUCACUUCUUCCCUUGUUUUAUUUCUCUUUGCUCUUGUGUUUUUAAGGUAUCAUCACGAGCAAGAGAAAUAGUAGGAUUUCUAUCAUAUAACCUCAUCCACAGCUUAACCAGCAAUGCUUUUGCUCAAUAAAGCCAUGGCAUUUUCUUUUUCAUAGUUACUCCAUGCUUUUGGCUUCUGCCAUGUAUAGACCUGUAGGUUGCAAUCAAAAAUCAAAACUAGACACCCACAUUAUAGCGUGGAUACUGGUAGACUAAGAAGGGCCCUUAGCCCUCUUCUGUUAUCCAGAAGACCUGAGAAUAAUUUUUACUCAGUUCCUCAGGAAGUGACAGCCUGUGGAAGCUGCUUGGUGAAUGAAAACAAAACCAUUACCUUUCCUUCAAAAUUGACAACACUGACUAGCCUGAAUUAUUCUUCACUAGCUUUUGCAGUUUUCUUCCAGCAUUUUGUUAUUCUGAUAUAACUACAUUACUGUGGAGUUUGAGAUGAAGAUCUCUCUGCUACAUAUGUGCUAUCACUACACAACUCAGCAGUAAAAACAGCAGUUCAUAGAGUGCAAUUUUGUAUGACAUGUUUUUUAUCUGUGUGUAUGACACAAACUAAAUAUUCUUUAUACAAAUGUGAUUAAUUCAGUUUCUCCAGUUUGUUUAUUAUUGCAAUCUAAUGGUUUGGAUAGCGUAGGGACACAAGUCAGUUUUUCUUCCCUUUUGUACAAGUUGUCAGCAGUUAGGUUGUGUCAGCUGAACUUCGUGACCAAAUCUUUGGUAGUAGGUUGAUAACUCACAAUGCACUUUGUGGUUCCAUAUGUACUCCCUGUGCUACCUUAUGCUGUACAUUCUUUUAUAAAAAGGACACUCAAAAGCACUAGAAAAUGCCAACGGAAAAUGUGAAGCAAAUGUUCAUAGAUUAAAUCCAUGAGAAACCUGGAUGGCCAAUUCAGAGAUAAAGUGCUUCAUUUGUGUAAGUUCCAAACCACACAAAAACUACAUUCAGUAUCUUUUAUGCUUUAUAAGAAGGAAAAAAUAGAAAAAAACAUUACUUUAUGUGCUGUGACUUCAUACAUAUUUAGCUAGUUGGUUUGCACUUUCCAAAAAGUCCCUAAAAAUAAACUGAAAAUAUCUUAAACUACUUAUGGCAAAUAGAAUGGCAGGAAAACUCUAUUGUUUCCAAAUGUGCAUUGAAACAAACGAGUGAACAUGAGUCUCCUCUAUAAGAGAAGGAGUCUAAAUGGAAGAACUUAGUGAACCCUGAAGUCAUAUAAAAGUAACACAGUGAGACUUGUUCGCUUAACAAGAUUUUAUCUGUCAGUACAAAGGCAACACCUCUUGCUAACUUCAGACUAUGUUUCAGAACUCAACUAAUACGCUUCCAACAUGUCACAUUUUUCAGUGAAAAUUGAAUUAAAAAGUAAUACAGGUAGGAUUUAAUACUGGUCUCCUUUUCCAUUUCUGCAUUUUACCAUGUGAAAACAAAGACAGAACAAACGUUUGAAAAGUUAACUGUCUGACCCAUUCAACUGAGUUGACUGUUUUCAACCAUGACCAGGCAAAAAUUCAUGUUAAAUAUGUGGAAGUGUAUUUAUUAAAAGGUGGAAAAAAACUUGGAACUUAGGUUCAGAGACAGACUAAUGACAUUUUGAAUAUAAGUAUUUUUAAAUUCAGGACUUUUCAUUUGCUGCAGCAAAAUGAAAGUGCAAAAACUUAAUCUUUUUCCUCUGGAGGAGAGAAGUUGUGAUACUCUUUGUGGGCCUUUUUAUUUGUUUGCUUUCCAAAGUUAUUUCACUGUUUAACACCCCUACUCCCCAAGUAGUUUGUGUACUUUUCUUUGAUCAGGAAAUCACCAGGGAAUAUCCUCAAUAAAUGAAAAACAGAAAAAAAAAAUGCCAUCUCAGAUAGUUUUCCCCACUUUGGACAUGUAAGUUGCAAAUGAACAUAAUCACACUGACUCUCCAUUUAGGACAGAUAUUGUGUGGUUUCUUGUAAAACUUUGUCACCUUGUCAAGUCUGCUCAUCUGUGAGUGAGCUCUUCUGCUGUGAUUCAAGUGCACUGUUUGCAAAAAGGUAAUGCAGCCAUGACUUUUGGGGAGGUGCUUAUUCAGGAAUAAUGUAAAUUCUAGAGAAGACUUCUGCCUUUCAGGUACAACUGAGAUAAUAUGCAGCUGCCAACCCUUAGUGAAUCUUACCUUGGCCAGUUGUGCUUGG